ensembl:misc_RNA 7SK 7SK RNA
GGAUGUGAGGGUGAGCUGGCUGCGAUAUCUGUCACCCCACUGAUCGCCAGAGUUGAUCUGGCUGAUCUGGCCGGCUAGGCGGGUGUCCCCUUCCUUCCUCCCGAAGCUGCAUGUCCAGUCAAGAGGACGACCAUCCCCAGUCAAGGGUAUGUGAAUAGCUGCGCUCUCCUACUAGAACCUCAAAAGAAAAAGAAAACUGUUCUACACUGCUGAUGUGAAUGUAAACUAGGAUAACUAUGAUGGAAAUCAAUGUGUAAAUUCCUCAAAAAUAACCAGUAAUUUUGUUUAUU